GAUGAACGCUAGCGGCAGGCCUAAUACAUGCAAGUCGAACGGUGUCUUCGGACAUAGUGGCGCACGGGUGCGUAACACGUAUGCAACCUACCUUACAUUGGGGGAUAGCCUUUCGAAAGGGAGAUUAAUACCGCAUAAGACAGUAGCUGGGCAUCCAGCAGCUAUUAAAGAUUUAUCGAUGUAAGCUGGGCAUGCGUCCAAUUAGCUAGUUGGUGAGGUAACGGCUCACCAAGGCAAUGAUUGGUAGGGGAACUGAGAGGUCAAUCCCCCACACUGACACUGAGAUACGGGCCAGACUCCUACGGGAGGCAGCAGUAGGGAAUAUUGGGCAAUGGACGCAAGUCUGACCCAGCCAUGCCGCGUGCAGGAUGAAGGCGUUAUGCGUUGUAAACUGCUUUUAUACAGGAAGAAACGACUCUUGCGAGAGGCAUUGACGGUACUGUAUGAAUAAGCACCGGCUAACUCCGUGCCAGCCGCCGCAGUAAUAC
rnacentral:rRNA from 1 species